GGGGUGCUCGAGUGGCGAACGGGUGAGUAACACGUGAGUAACCUGCCCUUGACUUUGGGAUAACUUCAGGAAACUGGGGCUAAUACCGGAUAGGAGCUCCUGCUGCAUGGUGGGGGUUGGAAAGUUUCGGCGGUUGGGGAUGGACUCGCGGCUUAUCAGCUUGUUGGUGGGGUAGUGGCUUACAAGGCUUUGACGGGUAGCCGGCCUGAGAGGGUGACCGGCCACAUUGGGACUGAGAUACGGCCCAG
rnacentral:rRNA from 1 species